rnacentral:lncRNA from 1 species
AUGUUGGAUUACAGUCUGCAACCAUUCAGGAUGGUUUUCGAAGAAAUGAGAGCCCAAGCAAGGAAGAUUGAUGAAGGAAUCAGUGCUCUGGAAAAGAAACUUCAGAACCCAUCACUGAUUGGAUACUUGGAUGAUGAUGUGCAGGAGCGGGCAGUUCAAAUCCUGGACGAACUUUUACAAGAAAUGGAUAUCAUUGAUAGCGAGGUGUCUAAGUAUUCAGCAGAUAUGACUGAAGACCUUCAUGAUAUCAAAAGCAACUGCGAAAGUCUCGAGAGCUACAUUGAAACAAUGGAAGAGAACAUUGACACAAUGACAGAAUUUGGAAAACAGUAUGGAUAUCUUCCUCCAGCUCAUUUAGUUGAGACCAAUGAGUCGGAUGAUUCUGAUUUAUCACAACUAUCACAAAAUUAUGAAAGUUCUGUUAAGAUUGAAGAUGAAACUCCUAUUUUAAUUGAUAGUGGAAUGUCAAACUCACUGAGGUCAGAUAAUUUAUCAGUUGCAACCAAUGAGACAUGGGAGCAAGGACGCAGGCCUGCAAGUCAAAUCAUGAAUGAAACCUUCACAACACCAUGUUCAAUGUUUAAAGUACGCCAUCUCAACCUACCAGAUGUUUCGGAAGUAAAGAACCUCUCUUUCAGCAAGCUCUCCCCUGCAAUGGCAUCAUCUAGCCCCAAGUUUCUGAAACCUAAAUUCAACCUAGAUGAAACAGCAUCUACUCUUUCUGAUGCAGCAUUCACAAUCAACAGCUCUCAGUCAUCAUCUUUCUCUGUCAAUCCACGGCGCCUGUCUAGAUAUCCUGUUGCCACAAAUCAUCUUCAAACACCACCGGAGGUUGAGCUAUCCUCUCUUAGCCGGAGACUUUUACACAAAUCAGCCGUCAAGAAAAAAUUUUAG